rnacentral:ncRNA from 1 species
UAGUAAUCCUGCUCAGAGCAAGAAGAACCACAGAUUUAGACAUUUGGGGUCUGUGCUUGGCUGAGGAGCCAAUGUUUGGAAGCUAUAAUCUACAGGAUUAUGAGUGAACACUGAUAAAUCAGAUUCCCCCAUAAAAA